rnacentral:lncRNA from 1 species
CUUCUGCAAAGCAGCCCUGUGGCAGUUCAGGAGUGCUGAAGAACAGCCCAAGCUCGUGUGUGGUGCUGUUUGGGUUGGUUUGUCACCGGUGCAUCCCUGGAGAAACAGCUGAAGGUGGGAGGACAUUCAAUGGUUUCACCUGACGCUGACCAAAUCCAGGGAAAACGUGGGUGCUCCCAGCCAUGAGGGAGCUGGAGGCAGAGCAUCCCUCUGGAGCUGGAGGGCAGGUGUGUGCUCCCUCCCAGUGACUGAAGCCAGUGCUGUUCUGAGCCCGGGGAUGAUGGACUGUGACUCACUCGGUGCUCUCAAAGCCCAUUUUCCUUUGCCUCACUACUCUGGAAGCAGUUAUAUCAAUUGCCUGCUUUUCCUGAGCAAUUUAUUACUAUUACAGCUCUUGUGGAGUUUUGAACUGUCUGUAGUUAAUGAUGCCAGCUAUUAAAAAGACACUUUAUCCUGAAU